rnacentral:misc_RNA from 1 species
UCUCCGUAGGUGAACCUGCGGAGGGAUCAUUAACACGUGCAUAAACAACACGUUUCAUAACCCAAUAACCCGUGAACUAGAAACAACACUCCCUUCACAGUGUGACCGAGCGAACAAUCAUUAGGGUGGAGUGCUGGACAAAAGGAAGGAGAACAAUCAGUAGCAUUAACCCUUGGGUUGAUGUUGCUGACUCUGCUUUCUUCUCGCACUAUGACUCGCUCUAGGGAUCCUUUUUUGAGAUCCCAAUCCGCUGUGAAGUGACCUUUUGCCGCCACCUGGUAGUCUGUUGAUUGCCAGUCCGUCGGGUCUGACAUGGCGCAGCGUUCUGCCGAAUCUAACCAACAACAUUUUUAACCCCUUUAACAACAUACUAAAAACUGAACCUUUUUUUUCAUAAUGUGUCUACCUUGUGUAUAUGCAUGUUGAAAAAAGAUAUACGUAAUGCUGAACAACUCUUAGCAAUGGAUAUCUUGGUUCUC